rnacentral:rRNA from 1 species
UACGUAGGGUGCAAGCGUUUGUCCGGAAUUAUUGGGCGUAAAGAGCUCGUAGGCGGUUUGUCACGUCGGAUGUGAAACCCUGAGGCUCAACCUCAGGCCUGCAUUCGAUACGGGCAGACUAGAAUUCGGCAGGGGAGACUGGAAUUCCUGGUGUAGCGGUGAAAUGCGCAGAUAUCAGGAGGAACACCAGUGGCGAAGGCGGCUCACUGGCCCGGUACUGACGCUGAGGCACGAAAGCGUGGGGAGCAAACAGG